GACGAACGCUGGCGGCGUGCUUAACACAUGCAAGUCGAACGGAAAGGCCCUUCUUUUGUGGGGUUCUCGAGUGGCGAACGGGUGAGUAAUACGUGAGUAACCUUCCCUUGACUUUGGGAUAACUUCAGGAAACUGGGGCUAUUACCCGUUAGGAGCUCCUGCUGCAUGGUGGGGGUUGGAAAGUUUCGGCGGUUGGGGAUGGCCUUGCGGCUUAUCAGCUUGUUGGUGGGGUAGUGGCUUACCAAGGCUUUGACGGGUAGCCGGCCUGAGAGGGUGACCGGCCACAUUGGGACUGAGAUACGGCGCAGACGCAUACGGGAGGCAGCAGGGGAGAAUAUUGCACAAUGGGCGGAAGCCUGAUGCAGAAGCGCCGCGUGCGGGAUGAAGGCCUUCGGGGUGUAAACCGCUUUCGCCUGUGACGAAGCGUGAGUGACGGUAAUGGGUAAAGAAGCACCGGCUAACUACGUG
rnacentral:rRNA from 1 species